rnacentral:rRNA from 1 species
AUGGGUUCGAAUCUAAGAGAAAUUCUAGAUAAUGUUUCCUACCCUGAAAUUUUCUUGUCUUUCCCGAAUGCUAAGGAGAAGAAGAGGAUUGAGUCAAAAGAAAAAGCUAUUUUGGAGUUUUAUCAACAAUUUGCUUGUGUAGGUGGGGACCUGGUAUUUUCGGAGUCCUUAUGCGAGGAAUUACAAAAGAAAUUUUUUCAACAAAAAUGUGAAUUAGGAAGGAUUGGUCGACGAAAUAUGAAUCGAAGACUUAAUCUUGAUAUACCUCAGAACAAUACAUUCUUGUUACCACGAGAUGUAUUGGCCGCUACGGAUCAUUUGAUUGGAAUGAAAUUUGGAACGGGUAUACUUGACGAUGACGAUAUGAAUCAAUUUACAACAUGCAGUUCAAAAAACUAUUCGUAG